AGUUCGAUUAUGGCUCAGAUUGGAAUUGGCGGGAUGCUUUACACAUGUGCGUCGAACGGCAGCACGGACUUCGGCCUGUGGCGAGUGGCGAACGGGUGAGUAAUGUAUCGGAACGUGCCUAGUAGCGGAUAAUUCAUGCUGAAAGCGUAGCUAAGACUGGGGACAUUAGGCUCUUUCGGGGGAAAGCGGGGACCCUGCAUUCCCGCACUAUUAGAGCGGCCGAUAUCGGAUUAGCUAGUUGGUGGGGUAACGCUCACCAAGGCGAUGACCGGUAGCUGGUUUGAGAGGACGACGAGCCACACUGGACUGAGACACGGCCCGACUCCUACGGGAGGCAGCAGUGGGGCUCGGAUGUUUGGGAAACUCCUUGAUCCGGCCAUCCUGGGCGUGUGCGAUGAAGGCUCUGGCCAGUGCCACUUUGGCAGGAUGAAUUGCACGGGAUAUCACCCCGUGCAACUGACGGUACCUGCAUAAUGGGGCACCGGCUAACUACGUGCCAGCAGCCGCGGUAGCUUAGGGUAAGCGUUAAUCGGAAUUACUACGAAGCGUGCGCAGCAGGCGGUUCGGAAAGAAAGAUGAAAUCCCAGAGCUUAACUUUUGGAACUGCAUUUUUAACUACCGAGCUAGAGUGUGUCAGAGGGAGGUGAAUUCCGCGUGUAGCAGUGAAAUGCGAUAUGGUGCAGGAACACCAUGGCGAAGGCAGCCUCCUGGGAUAACACUGACGCUCAUGCACGAAAGCGUGGGGAGCAACAGGAUUAGAUACCCCAGUAGUCCACGUCAAACGAUGUUUUCAACUAUGUUGGGGCCUUUUGGCCCAGAAGUGCAGCUAACGCGUGAAGUUGACCGCCUGGGGAGUACGGUCGCAAGAUUAAAAAACUCAAAGGAAUUGGACGGGGACCUGCACACGUUGUGAUAGAUGGAUUAACUGAUGCAACGCUAAAACCCAAUGCAUCUUGAUAUGUUCAACCCUGAAGAGAUUUGGGAGCGUCGGCAAAAGAGGUUCCGGAACACAGGUGCUGCAUGGUCAUUGCCGUCAGCGAGAGAUGUUGGGUUAAGUCCCGCAACGAGCGCAACCCUUGUCAUUAGUUGCUACGAAAGGGCACUCUAUCGAGACUGUGUUUUGGUGACAAACCGAGGAAGGUGGGGAUGACGUCAAGUCCUCAUGGCCCUUAUGUGUAGGGCUUCGAUACGUCAUACAAUGGUCGGGACAGAGAGCCCAACCCGCGAGGGGGAGCCAAUCCCAGAAACCCGGAUUCGUAGUCCGGAUCGCAGUUCGCAAACGGACUGCGAAGUCGGAAUCGCUAUAAUCGCGGAUCAGUAUGUCGUGAAUACGUUCCCGGGUCUUGUACACACCGCCCGUCACACCACAGGGGAGUGGGUUUUACCAGAAGUAGUUAGCCUAACUGUAAGGAGGGCGAUUACCACGGUAGGAUUCAUGACUGGGGUGAAGUCGUAAUGUUGCAA
rnacentral:rRNA from 1 species